rnacentral:lncRNA from 1 species
AAACAUUUAGGAGUUGACAGAUGUACUAAAAUGACCUCCCAUGAAAGUAAUCAUUUGGAGAAACAUUUCAAAAUUUCUUUCUAGUGUAAUUGGACUUGAAACAAUGAAAACAAAGGAUUCCUCAGUAACAACCCAGGACACAUAUGUGAGAUAAUGAUACAUCUGUCAGAGGACAACAACCUCCACUUGCUUCUCACUCAUGUUCUCCACUAUGUUCCACCUACUUGACUGAACAAAAGUCUACUGCCACCUUGCCUUACAAAUGACAAACUGCCAAGAUUUACAUCUUUCUGGAUAAAUUCAGAGGCAUCUAGAGCUAUAGGACAGACAGGUCCAGUGGAAGAUGAAUGCAGAGGCUACGAGCAAGAGCAAGAAGGGAGACUAUUUUCAAAUGUGGUCAAACAAAUUCCCUGAGUGGAAUUCAGGUAGCUUCCUUAGUAGAAGAUGAUUUCCUGAUCUUCAUUCAGAGAAGCCUUAUUUCUAGCAGGAGUCUCAGCAAACAGCAGACACUGACAGCUGGUGGAAGAAGAAGCAGAUGA